rnacentral:rRNA from 1 species
ACGUUAGCGGCGGACGGGUGAGUAACACGUGGGUAACCUACCUAUAAGACUGGGAUAACUCCGGGAAACCGGGGCUAAUACCGGAUAACACAUGAAACCGCAUGGUUUCAUGAUGAAAGACGGUUUUGCUGUCACUUAUAGAUGGACCCGCGGCGUAUUAGCUAGUUGGUAAGGUAACGGCUUACAAAGGCAACGAUACGUAGCCGACCUGAGAGGGUGAUCGGCCACACUGGAACUGAGACACGGUCCAGACUCCUACGGGAGGCAGCAGCG